rnacentral:rRNA from 1 species
GACGAACGCUGGCGGCGUGCUUAACACAUGCAAGUCGAACGGAAAGGCCCUGCUUUUGUGGGGUGCUCGAGUGGCGAACGGGUGAGUAACACGUGAGUAACCUGCCCUUGACUUUGGGAUAACUUCAGGAAACUGGGGCUAAUACCGGAUAGGAGCUCCUGCUGCAUGGUGGGGGUUGGAAAGUUUCGGCGGUUGGGGAUGGACUCGCGGCUUAUCAGCUUGUUGGUGGGGUAGUGGCUUACCAAGGCUUUGACGGGUAGCCGGCCUGGGAGGGUGACCGGCCACAUUGGGACUGAGAUAGGGCCCAGACUCAUACGGGAGGCAGGAGGGGGGAAAAUUGCACAAGGGGCGGAAGCAGGAUGCAGCAACGCCGCGUGCGGGAUGACGGCCUUCGGGUUGUAAACCGCUUUCGCCUGUGACGAAGCGUGAGUGACGGUAAUGGGUAAAGAAGCACCGGCUAACUACGU